UGGGGAAUAUUGCACAAUGGGCGAAAGCCUGAUGCAGCAACGCCGCGUGAGUGAUGAAGGCCUUCGGGUUGUAAAGCUCUGUCUUUUGGGACGAUAAUGACGGUACCAAAGGAGGAAGCCACGGCUAACUACGUGCCAGCAGCCGCGGUAAUACGUAGGUGGCAAGCGUUGUCCGGAUUUACUGGGCGUAAAGGAUGCGUAGGCGGAUUUUUAAGUGAGAUGUGAAAACCCUAAGCUUAACUUGGGGACUGCAUUUCAUACUGGAAAUCUAGAGUGCGGGAGAGGAGAAUGGAAUUCCUAGUGUAGCGGUGAAAAUGCGUAGAGAUUAGGAAGAACACCAGUGGCGAAGGCGAUUCUCUGGACCGUAACUGACGCUGAGGCAUGAAAAGCGUGGGUAGCAAACAGGAUUAGAUACCCUGGUAGUCCACGCCGUAAACGAUGAGUACUAGGUGUAGGAGGUAUCGACCCCUUCUGUGCCGCAGUUAACACAAUAAGUACUCCGCCUGGGAAGUACGAUCGCAAGAUUAAAAACUUAAAAUGAAUUGACGGGGGUCAUAGCUGUUUUCCU
rnacentral:rRNA from 1 species